rnacentral:rRNA from 1 species
UACGUAUGGGGCAAGCGUUAUCCGGAUUUACUGGGUGUAAAGGGAGCGUAGGCGGCGGGGCAAGCCUGAUGUGAAAGCCCGGGGCUCAACCCCGGGACUGCAUUGGGAACUGCCCUGCUGGAGUGCCGGAAGGGCAGGCGGAAUUCCUAGUGUAGCGGUGAAAUGCGUAGAUAUUAGGAGGAACACCAGUGGCGAAGGCGGCCUGCUGGACGGUGACUGACGCUGAGGCUCGAAAGCGUGGGGAGCAAACAGG